CUAGGGAAUACAUGAAGAGUUUGGGGUCUUCUGUCAUUGAAAUAAUCAAAGCCAAGAAUAAGCGUGAAAUGUUGGAGCAAAAAAUGGACGACCUACUGAGUCAUCAGAGACAAUUUGUCGAAAAUAAUCGUCGGUCCUUAGAACAGAAAAUAAAAGAAAAGGAAAAGUCUUCUACAUUUCUAAGAAGUGUUUCAUCAGCUACAUGACUUACUGACAGGGGAUCUGCCGUGCGACCAGAUAAACCAGGACUUGCAGCAAGCCAACGAUGCUCUACGAGCAGAACUCAACAAAGUAGGAUUUUUAAUAUCUGAACUAUUCAAAUGGAA